GUCAAAUCCAUAAUUUGUGUGAUUAGGAGAAUAAAUACAAUCUAGUGGAUUGUAUGAAUAUAAGGAUUUAUUUUCAGUGAAAUCUGCCACUAAUAUUGGUGUAAUUUUUUCAUUUAUAGGGACAGAGCUGGCAUUUAAGAAGGGUGAUUGAAAAAUAUCAAGUGAAAGAUACCUCUGUUUUCCUUCCUCUCAGGCAAUGUUGGCAGCAAGCACACACACAGUAACGUUGAAUGGUUACAUGCAUUCAAGGGAUGUACAUUAUGGACCAUACCCUGAAAUACAGACCUCAUCACCUUUACCACAGCCUGUUUCAAAUUUCUUCAUGCUGGGUUUCCAAGGGUGUUCUUCAGUGCAUGGUAACAAGCUUCAGAGUAUUUUGUAGCCAAACAUGUAAGUCAUAGAACACAUGGCCAGGAGGAACCUCGGAAGACCCUCAUCUCCAGUUCUUCAUUUCAAAGACUAAACUACUGCAGACAGAUGUUCAUCAAUCCCAUUCUUGAGAUAUUCCAAGAGGUUUUGCAACCUACAAUCCAUUUAGUCUUCAUAUUCCUUUAGACACUCACUUUCUUAGUUAGAAAGUAUUUCCUGAUGUGUAAAACCAAAUCUCUUCUAUUAAACAAUUGCAAUUAAAUUGCUUCAAG
rnacentral:lncRNA from 1 species